GACAGAGGAUGCAAGCGUUAUCCGGAAUGAUUGGGCGUAAAGAGCUCGUAGGCGGUUUGUCGCGUCUGCCGUGAAAGUCCGGGGCUCAACUCCGGAUCUGCGGUGGGUACGGGCAGACUAGAGUGAUGUAGGGGAGACUGGAAUUCCUGGUGUAGCGGUGAAAUGCGCGGAUAUCAGGAGGAACACCGAUGGCGAAGGCAGAUCUCUGGGCCGUAACUGACGCUGAGGAGCGAAAGCAUGGGGAGCGAACAGG
rnacentral:rRNA from 1 species